UGUUCCGUCAUAGGUAGGCAUUCUGAAGAGCAAUGGAACAAGUGAAUGUUGCAAACCUACGCCCAAGUGUGAUGCACGAUACACUCGUGCACACCCAGGAAAACCAGUGAGGCAUUCUGAAGAGCAAUGGAACAAGUUAAACUUUCAAUAUCCUGAAACAUAUGUGGAAAGGCAUCAUCAGGAGGUGGGGCAGGCUUUGUUCC
rnacentral:lncRNA from 1 species